rnacentral:sRNA from 1 species
GUUUUGGGUUCUGUUCCUGAAGCAGCCACUUUGUGUAUGACCUUAAGCAAGUUCUCUAACUCUCUGAACCUUGGUGUUCCUCACCUGUAAAAUGGGGACGAUAAUAAACCCACCUUUCCAGAUGGCCCCAAGCCCUGAGUUUGGCCCACAUUUUAUGAUCAAUGUGUGACCGCCAUUAUUACGGAUCAUUAGUCUGGGUCCAUGUGGUUCAGAACAUAGAACUGCUGCCUGCCUGACCUCAGUAAUUCAUGCAGAGAAACAGCAUUUGGACCUCCCAGUACAGUUCAUUUUGUAGAAUUUUUACACUAUGUGGAUAUAAGUGGCUGUCUUGGAGGUCCCUAGGCUUGCUAAGCACAGAGGCCUCAGACCCCCAGACUGGACAGUGCCCCACCCCCAGACGUCAAGUUCACCUGGCCUCCUCUUCUCCAGCCUCAGUCACCUUCUGCUGAACAGCUCCACCUUGGCCUUGCUUACUCACAGACUAAGCCACAUGACCUGCCUGCAGAGCCUCAGACUGAACAGGAACAGUAUCGGUGAUGUCGGUUG